rnacentral:rRNA from 1 species
AUACGUAGGUGGCGAGCGUUGUCCGGAUUUACUGGGCGUAAAGAGUGCGUAGGCGGAUGUUUAAGUGAGAUGUGAAAUACCCGAGCUCAACUUGGGUGCUGCAUUUCAAACUGGGCAUCUAGAGUGCAGGAGAGGAACGCGGAAUUCCUAGUGUAGCGGUGAAAUGCGUAGAGAUUAGGAAGAACACCAGUGGCGAAGGCGGCUUUCUGGACUGUAACUGACGCUGAGGCACGAAAGCGUGGGGAGCAAACAGGAUUAGAUACCCUGGUAGUCCACGCCGUAAACGAUGGGUACUAGGUGUCGGGGGUCCAACCUCGGUGCCGCAGUAAACACAUUAAGUACCCCGCCUGGGGAGUACGGUCGCAAGAUUAAA